AUUGAACGCUGGCGGCAUGCUUUACACAUGCAAGUCGAACGGUAACAGGCCGCAAGGUGCUGACGAGUGGCGAACGGGUGAGUAAUGCAUCGGAACGUGCCCAGUCGUGGGGGAUAACGCAGCGAAAGCUGCGCUAAUACCGCAUACGAUCUAUGGAUGAAAGCGGGGGACCGAAAGGCCUCGCGCGAUUGGAGCGGCCGAUGUCAGAUUAGGUAGUUGGUGGGGUAAAGGCCCACCAAGCCAACGAUCUGUAGCUGGUCUGAGAGGACGACCAGCCACACUGGGACUGAGACACGGCCCAGACUCCUACGGGAGGCAGCAGUGGGGAAUUUUGGACAAUGGGCGCAAGCCUGAUCCAGCAAUGCCGCGUGCAGGAAGAAGGCCUUCGGGUUGUAAACUGCUUUUGUACGGAACGAAACGGUCCGGGUUAAUACCCUGGGCUAAUGACGGUACCGUAAGAAUAAGCACCGGCUAACUACGUGCCAGCCGCCGCCGUAAAAC
rnacentral:rRNA from 1 species